AUUGAACGCUGGCGGCAGGCCUAACACAUGCAAGUCGAGCGGAGCGGGGGACGGGUGAGGAAGGCCUAGGAAUCUGACUGGUAGUGGGGGAUAACGUCAGGUAACGGGAGCGAAUAACGAUUACUAUUAGAAGAGCCUCGGUCGGAUUAGAUAGUUGGUGGGGUAAAGGCCUACCAAGUCGACGAUCCGUAACUGGUCUGAGAGGAUGAUCAGUCACACUGGAACUGAGACACGGUCCAGACUCCUACGGGAGGCAGCAGUGGGGAAUAUUGGACAAUGGGCGAAAGCCUGAUCCAGCCAUGCCGCGUGUGUGAAGAAGGUCUUCGGAUUGUAAAGCACGUUAAGUUGGGAGGCGUUACCAACAGAAUAAGCACCGGCUAACUUCGUGCCAGCAGCCGCGGUAAUUC
rnacentral:rRNA from 1 species